UUUGUCUCAAAGGACAUUAAGUCCAUAUCAGUCUUGGUGAGUGGGUCUCUGGACUUCCUGUAAAUGAGUCCAAUCACAUUUCAGUUGACGACGCUUGUUGAUGGUGUCAGUUUUUGUUUCAGUGUAAAAUUUCCACAGCAGCAGGUGUCCAAGGUGGAGGAAGUGAUGUUGGUGGGUGACAUUGCAGGGGGUUCACAUGUGGGCCCCAGAUGAGCUGAAGAGGUCUCACUUCUCCCGUUUCUCAGGAACCUUUAGUGACUGAUGUUAGACAACGUCCCAGCAUGCAUUUGGACCAGCAGCAAUGGAGGAGAUUCUCAUUUACAACUUUUAUUGUGUCACUGGCCAGGUUGGAAAGGAAGCCCCAACAGUCAGGUGCAGGCGUGUCGAUGAUGUCACAGUACAGUCAGGUGCAGAUGUGUCGAUGAUGUCACAGUACAGUCAGGUGCAGGCGUGUCGAUGAUGUCACAGUACAGUCAGGUGCAGAUGUGUCGAUGAUGUCACAGUACAGCAGCUAACAUGAAGCCAGCAGGUUUGGGAGUUAUUGUUUUGGGUGUCGAUAGAUUUACAGCAGAUGCUUCUUCUUCUCUGGUCUGAGAAUAAUCCAAUCGUCCUGAUGUCACAGUUUUCCCUCCAUAUGAAUGUUA